GAACCGCAAGUGUGCAGCCGCUGUACGGCUAAGGGCCGUGCAGAGGAAAGUCCGAACUUCACAGGGCAGGGUGCCGGCCGAGAGCCUUCCGGGGCUCAAGUCCGGGAAUGACGGUGCAAACCGCUCAUGACAGACAGUGCAACAGAAAGCAGACCGCUCCGGGCAACCGGAGUAAGGGUGAAACGGCGGUGUAAGAGACCACCAGGCUCUUCAGUAAUGGAGUGCGCUAGGCAAACCUCCCCGAAGCAAGGCUAAAUAGGAAAGCUUUCCCCCCAAGGGGGGAAGAGAGCGGCCCGUUCAAUUCCGCAAGGAGAGCUUUCGGGUAAGCCGCAUCAGAUAAAUGGCUGCAGUUUUGCCCGGAUUCCGGGCAAUCCACAGAAUUCGGCUUACAUCUUCGGUUUCAGC
rnacentral:RNase_P_RNA from 1 species